UUUUUGUGUUGAUCUUGAGUAUAGGUAUGCCGUACUAUCAAGAGGGAUGCAUCAUAUGGUCAUUUGACAAAGUCUUAGUGCUCAGGUUUCUUAUGUGAGUUGUUGAGAGACACAAAAGCCACACGAACACACUCUGUCGAGUCAAGCAGGGGCAAAAUCGAAAGCUCCAGUUUUAGAAAUAGGAAGUUCUAGUUUUGUGUGCCACGUGUCACUAACGGAUAGUCGGUUUGAAAAAUCAGAGGUUUCGGUUUUAGGAAACCCGUAGUUCCAGUUUUGGUUUGACACACUAACGACUAGUUUUUGAGGUGUGGUGUAUUUAUACCCCACGCCAUUCCUAGUUGCUAGCUGUUGCUUCUGAUGUUGCUUGUCUGCUUCCUGUUGUUCUAAGCUGAACUAAAGCCAAAAUAGCUCUCUCCAACCCCACUUUGUGAAGUUGAGUGAUCUUUGCUAGAUCUUGUGAGUUGGGUAGUAGAGAGGAGACAUUCGUGAGCAUUAGUAGAGCACUAAGUUCCUUGAGCACUUUUUUUCCUUGUCAAGUUUCAAGUGAAGCAUUUGUUACUCUUGGAGGUGUGCCUCCUAGACGGCUAGGUGUUGUUGGCUAGCUUCCAAAGGUGUGGUGAGCAGCGGCAAGUUUGUAAAGGCUACGAUCUUGAUUCCGCAAGGUAAAAGGUCAUCUAGUGGAAAUGAGGAAAUUGGUUGAAAGAGACCUGGCACAUUGGAAGGGAGUUGAGUAGAGUCGUAUUCCAAUUGGCUCCUCAACGUAGAUGUAGGAUUCAUAGUGGUGAAUCUGAACUUCGGUGAAACAAAGUCUCCUCACUGGUUUGAUCUCAUUUGCAUUCAUUAUUAAACUUUGGAAUUUGUUUGAUGUACUCGGAUGUUUUUGUCUAUGGAGUGUAGGAACUUUGUGAACCUGCUGAGAAACACCCUGAGAGCAUACUCUUCACGUUUGGUUUGAUAUCGAGCUUAGUUUCACCUCAUAGGUUUAGGGGUCUUCUCUGUCUGAGCAAAAACCGGAGGUUCUAGUUUUGGAAACCGAUGGUUCCGGUUUCUGGCAGAGAUAGUUUUUUUCCGCUGCAUAAGUGCCCUCUCCCAGCUCCAGAUAUUUUUGUAGAUUUCUUCAGAAAUUUCGUAGGUUGCUGAAUUUCCAAAACCAUCUCCAAAAAUACCGGAAGUCAUUGAUAAGCUAGUUUUAAGUUGCGAUAAUUUCAGGGUACACCUAUUCACCCCCCC
rnacentral:lncRNA from 1 species